GACAAUCUUCAGGGACAUUCAAUAAAGUUUGACCGAUUCAGAGAAUAGUAGCAUAGCCCCUGCACAAGAAUGACAUGCACAAAUCCCAAGACAACAAAACCUGA